rnacentral:rRNA from 1 species
ACGGAAGGCAGCAGUGGGGAAUAUUGGGCAAUGGGCGCAAGCCUGACCCAGCAACGCCGCGUGAAGGAUGAAGGUCUUCGGAUUGUAAACUUUUUUGAUCAGGGACGAAUAAAUGACGGUACCUGAAGAACAAGUCACGGCUAACUACGUGCCAGCAGCCGCGGUAAUACGUAGGUGACAAGCGUUAUCCGGAUUUACUGGGUGUAAAGGGCGUGUAGGCGGUUUGGCAAGUCAGAAGUGAAAUUCCCGGGCUUAACUUGGGCGCUGCUUCUGAAACUGCUUUACUUGAGUACUGGAGAGGAUAGUGGAAUUCCGAGUGUAGCGGUAAAAUGCGCAGAUAUUAGGAGGAACACCGGUGGCGAAGGCGGCUAUCUGGGCAGUAACUGACGCUGAGGCGCGAAAGCACGGGGAGCAAACAGGAUUAGAUACCCUGGUA